rnacentral:sRNA from 1 species
UCGAAGCCUCGAAUUCUCCGCCAUCAGC